UCGCCAUGGCGCCGCCACUCCAGAGCGUCCCCCGCUGUUCUGAAGACACCGGAAGAUGCGUCUCGUCGUCCUCGUCCUCUCCGUCCAAGGAAUCGAGCUAAGACCCCGUAAACCGAGCGCACGGUCACCGUUUCUCCACCAUGGCCGCGAUGCUCCGGCGUCGAUUCCGCCGCCCAUGGUUCCUCUCCGGCCUUCUCGUCGCCUCCAUCGUCUUCCCCGCGUCCAGGCGCAUCUCCGGCACCAACCGUUUCAUCCCGAUUCGCUCCGGGUCGCCGGAUCCAUGAACGACCAGAGCUCCUCGCCAUGACCUUCAUCCUCGAGCUCCACCUGUGCCUGCUUCAGGUUGUCGGGCGCCCAUCCAUCGACACCAUCCACGCAGCAGCAUGACUGAUCUCGCGAACAGAGGCGCUUGUUUAUGCUCAGCUUCAUAUCCAAAUCAACAUCAGCAUCUAGCCCAGUUGAUCGGCAGACGGGCCUCGGCCCAGUUUCCUUCCUGGCGCGGCCCAACUCAAGCGCGGCCAUCAGCCCUUAGGCCGCCAGCUUGUCCUCGCCCAGCGCGGCAGGUAGCAGCCCAACACGCUCAUAUCCUCUCCUCUCUUUUGUUUUAGUUCCAUUGUUUUGCAAAAUGGUUUAAAUCAUAUCUUUAAAUCCGUAACUCGAAAUAAAAUGUGUUAUAUAUGAAAAUUGAUCAGAAAAACAUAAGGAACAUGAAU